AUUGAACGCUGGCGGCAUGCCUUACACAUGCAAGUCGAACGGUAACGCGGGGCAACCUGGCGACGAGUGGCGAACGGGUGAGUAAUGUAUCGGAACGUGCCCAGUUGUGGGGGAUAACUGCUCGAAAGAGCAGCUAAUACCGCAUACGACCUGAGGGUGAAAGCGGGGGAUCGCAAGACCUCGCGCAAUUGGAGCGGCCGAUAUCAGAUUAGGUAGUUGGUGGGGUAAAGGCCCACCAAGCCAACGAUCUGUAGCUGGUCUGAGAGGACGACCAGCCACACUGGGACUGAGACACGGCCCAGACUCCUACGGGAGGCAGCAGUGGGGAAUUUUGGACAAUGGACGCAAGUCUGAUCCAGCCAUGCCGCGUGCGGGAAGAAGGCCUUCGGGUUGUAAACCGCUUUUGUCAGGGAAGAAAAGGGCGACUCUAAUACAGUUGCCUCAUGACGGUACCUGAAGAAUAAGCACCGGCUAACUACGUGCCAGCCGCCGCCGUAACAC
rnacentral:rRNA from 1 species